ensembl:lncRNA
GUGACUUGAGGACACAGCAGUCAAGCAGAAUGAUCAAUAGCAGCUGGCAUUGAAAGUAUGAAGAAGUUAAUUGCACAUUUCACUCAUCACUGCUGAAGUAACCUCUUCUAACCAUCAUCAGUUACUAUGCCAAACGUGAUGAACAAAACGGAGCGAUUUCUCCUACACAAAUAAUCUUUUUGGAAAAACGGAACAUUUGCUAUCUAACUGAGAGUCUCCUCAUUGAAAACAUCCGAAGUUCUUCAAAGCUGAACCCCGCCUCUUCAGCUUGAUUGACAGCAUCAUGAUGACAAUUGCCAGGAUACAGACAAGAGGGAUGAAGAUGAGUAUAACUAAUCCAGUGGGGAAUCAGAC